rnacentral:rRNA from 1 species
GACGAACGCUAGCGGCAGGCUUAACACAUGCAAGUCGAGGGGCAGCAUGAGGCGGAGAUUCGUCGAAGUCUUGAUGGCGACCGGCGCAAGGGUGCGUAACGCGUGAGCAACUUGCCCGUUUCUGGGGAAUAACCGGUGGAAACGCCGACUAAUACCCCCAUAGUAUUGAGUUUAGGCAUCUUUACUCAAUUAAAGAAUUUCGGAAACGGAUAGGCUCGCGUGACAUUAGCUGGAUGGCGGGGUAACGGCCCACCAUGGCAACGAUGUCUAGGGGUUCUGAGAGGAAGGUCCCCCACACUGGAACUGAGACACGGUCCAGACUCCUACGGAGGCAGCAGUGAGGAAUAUUGUCAAUGGUCUGACGACUGAACCAGCCCAUGCCGCGUGAAGGUCACGGCCCUA